ensembl:lncRNA
GAAAAGAUUCCUUCAGUAGUAGAAGAGGCAGGACAUACAGCAGUUUUAACAGCUCUCUCAGUAUUGUUCUGUGUCUCGGAACUGCAGGUUUUCCACAAAAGAAAAUUCGGUUGUGUCAAGUGGUAGACGCUGUGCUCUGAGCCAAGAAAGGGAUGGAGGAGGCAUUGUCCUGGCAAGCACUGGGCUGCGUGCAUGUCCUCUGGUGAGGAGAGAAACUUUCCGCUGCGCUGCCCCUCCAGCUUCCUCAAGAGCAACCAUGGUGAUGGUGUGGUUAUUGUUUUUCUUUGGGCAUGGGCCAAACCACGCAGAUGGCAUACUAGGACGAGCCUGUGGUAAGUACACCAAGAGUUGACAUUUGUCACUUGCUGCUACCAGGAGGCAAAAAAUGGUGUUCACAAGGCACUCGUAAGAGCAUGAUCAUGUGCUUAAACAAAGCAUUUACCAAAGAAGUAUGCAAUUUUCUGAUGUGGUUGCUUCUUUCAAUAGCCUCUUCCUGUCAUGAUGCUGAUAAGUCCAUAGUCAACACUGUCAUUCCUUUUGUAACAUUUUUAUAAGCUCCCUUCCACUUCAGCAUUAGGAGACUCAGCUCUACGCUCUCCAGGUAUUCCCUCUUGGUUCAUAACGUCUCUCGUCAUUCUCCCGUAAUGGUAAGAAACUGUUCAUUACUUCGGAUCAAACUGUGCCUUUUAGGCUGGUUAUAGCACCGUGAAUGGUACUCCAGUGGCUUAUUUGAUUGAUGAGUUGUAAUAACUGCUUUUGGAUCCCUUUGUUGUGACAAUAGUUCUUCAGCUUCAUCCAUGUAUAAUAAAUAGCCUAACAAACACAUUAUUUCAUUUCUUUAUUAAGUCAUUAAUUACACUGCAAGUUCUUUAACUGCAUCAGAAGAGUUUCUGGAUAAAACCAACUUACUUAUUGUCACCAUUGUUGAAUGCACUACUCUUACAUGGACGACUUAGAUGCAAAUCUAUACAUAACAGAACCUGCCCAACACCAACACAAUCUUUUCACUUAACACUUAUAGUCAAAUCACAUUUUACCUAACCUGGAACCAUGUGUUUGUUUUGGUUAUAGCAAGAUCAAAAUGUUCUUUUAAAUGCCUUCCUCGUGGAUUAAGAGAGAACAUAUGGGCCACACAAUGAAAUAACACAAAAGCUGUAAUUCCUUAAAAAUGGAUGAAUCCCAAGAUUUUCCUGGGUUUCAGUCAGUUUUUUUCCUCUUUGAAAAAAAAAAGUAGAGAAUACAGACAGUACAAACACAGAACAGCUGUUUACAUUUAAACAUAUGCCAUUCAGCUAGUCAAAAAAUUAUUCAGACACCAACAUUUCAAAGGCAUAUUACUGACAUAUGGUAUCUGACAUGUUUCCACAACUGACUACACUGGCUUUGAUGACAACCAUGAAAAUCACAUCUUUCCAUGUGAGCAGUUAGAGAAACAGGCAAAUGAAGACUUAGCUCGGGGUUUUGUAUUCUUACUGAUUCUAAAGGACUGCAAGAACCAAGGUAAGUCUUCUGGCUUUUCAAAACGUAGGCCUCAUUUGCUACAACCAUUGCAUACCCUGUUCCUCACCUCACCAUGAGACCCCACAAACAGCAGAGCAGAACUGCUGCUGCUAUUGAGCUGUUCUCCCAGAGGCAGGCAAAGAGACUCAAUUAGACACAACAGGCUAUUCCCAGGGCUAGUCUCCAAAAUGACAGCUUGAGAUCCUUGGCAUAUGGCUUGCGGUUUCACACACAGUAUAUGCAGGGUUGCUAUUCUGUUAUAGGAAAACUAGGUAUUAAAGCCUAUUGUGGAGCUCAGUCAGGUUAAGACAGGGCUAGAUACUGAAGUAUUCCAGUCCUCUCAGGACCUGAGGAUCUCUCAGUGCAAAAAGGUUCCCGGGUGCUUUGCAGGCCAGAAUCUUAAGCACCAACUUGGAGGCUGACAAGGAAUCCCUCACCCCUCUAACUCAUAUGUGGGUGUAGAAGGGGUAAUUGAGAUUUUUGCUUUAGAAACCACUGCCCAAUUUUGUUUACAUUCUCAGGGGGGCAGUUGCUCAGCUCAGAGCCUAUCAGAGCAACUAUAAAAUAAGCAAAGGCCAUACUGAAAUUUACACAGACACCAGCUGAGAAGGCCAGGCUGUUGACAGACUGCUGUGCCAGCAUAUAUAAAUAAACAAACAAUUCAUUUAAAAAAAACCAAGCAUCUGCAUAAAACAAAAUUAGUGCAAUUGAACUCCCUUUUCCCACCACUUAAUUUGCUUGUCCUAAAUAAGUAUUUUUCUCUAUUAAAUAGUAACAUACUCCUCCACGGGGAUGUGCCUGAGUCUAGCAGUUCAUUCAUCAUUUUGGGUCUCAAACACCAAUCAGCUGAGGAGUGUUUCCCCGUGACUGCACUAAAUUAGGAAAAUUUCCAAAGCAUUAUUCUUUCUCUGGCCAUUUUCAGAGUCUAAUCCAGUACCCUUGCUGGUCCCACUGAUGCCUGGACAAGGCUGGCAGCUCAUAGCUGGCCCACAUCCAAGCACACCGGAGCACAGCAAGCAAGCUGCCCUCCCCCUGUAGGGACAUGAGGACUGUAGCUCAACUCGAGGUGCUGAAGACAGGCAGCACGCUAACUGGCAUUCAGUGUAAAAACACCAACAAUUGCAAUCGAACCUGCAGUUCACUUGUUGUUUUCUGUACUUGAAGUCCCAAGCUUUCUAAGUAAAAAUACUGUUAGCAUGCAUAGAAUUUCCAUGGUUUAGUUUAUCAGCCUAUGUUCUCUCUGGUGUAGAAAAGGAAGAAGAAGGGCCGUAUAUUUUCUUUCAGUCACCAGUUGGUCCUCCUUUAAGGACCUUGUAAGACAUUUUUUUUGUGUAUUGUUUCUCUGCAUAUGUGGGCAGCUUUACUACUUCAUCCCCCUCAGGACCACUUAACAACAUCAGCAAAGCAAUUAAGUGUAGUUUUCAGGAAAAUGCCAGAGGCAUUACACUGUCUGGAUGGGAGUCUCAACCCAAUUAUUUUCAGCUAGUUGUGAACUGUGGAAAGUGGACUUUACUUCAUUAUAACUUCAGUUCCCACUGAUUAAAAGUCUAGUGUGUUACAGACAGUAAGGAAAAAUGAAAACAAUUAAACUUUCCGUCAAUAAAAUGGCUGCAUAUUCUUCAACACAGGGGUUUACUUCUCUCCAGAGAAGUGAUUAAAAUGAACUGAUUGAACUAUAAUUUGAUUGACUGAAGAGCCUCGAUCCAUUGCACUAAAGCUUAAAUUCCAUCUUAUUGCUCUAUUUAACUCUGAAUAUAAAAAAAAAUUACUGGCAGUCUCACAAACCUUACACAGUCAUCCAGUUGAAAUUUCGUGCUACUCACAGGCUGUGGUGGAUUCUGUUCCUUCUCUGCAUGAUUCACAACAGGCUGAUGUUGAAGAGUGGCAAAGACACCUAAGAAAUGACAUUAAUAUAGCUUUAAAAUCGUGUACCUAUCACAGUCAUUUGGGGAUUCUAAACUCAACCAGAGAUAGAGUUGAUCCAAGACCACGAAAGAGAAUAAUGUUCAGGUUGUAUACAACUGUUGCAGCAAGAAAAUAACCUCCUCAUGAAAACCACAGCCACGAUGUAGCUUCCCACCACAGGUCUGCCUUCAGCAAGGUGUGAGGUUGCCAGAUGCACAGGUUUGCAUGCACACAAACAUACAUACGCCUCUUUCCUUCAAGGAGAUACUAAAGAAAGAGGCACAUUUAGCCUGGUUUCAAUGGUAAAUUGUGCUGGCUAAGAAUCAAGAUGCCAAGGUUCCCAGGCAAACAUCGUUUUCUUUGGACUUGGGGCAAAUUUCUACAGAGUGCUUAUUCUACAAGACUAUCAUCUCUACAGAUGAGUAACUGUCCUGCCAAAUUCUGGGACUCCUGUUGCACUAACAAAAGCUAGUCAAGAAACAUUAAGACAUGCAUGCUUUCAUUGACAAGCUACUAUGAUACAGAAAAUACCCAACUUUGCAUUCACCCCUCUGAAAAUUUAAUUGAAAUGACAUUCCCCUUUAGAAGGUUGCCACUUUAUUGUUUGACAUUUUAUUUCUCUAUUUCCACUUAGUAUUUUGAACUAAACACAGCAUUUGAAAUACAGCUGUACUGCAGUAGAAUUGAAUUGGAAUAUAUUAUAGCUUUAAAUUAAAUUAUGUUGGUAAUUAAUUGAAUGAGGCUGAGCAAGAUGGGAAAAUAAAGGUGGGCAACAAGCUCUGGGUUAAAUUCUUAACAUGCUUCCUUUCACAGGCAGCUCAAACUCCAAAGGAAGUCAAUAGGUACUUUUCCAUUAACAUCACCAUGAACUGAGACAUGUGAUCCUUGAGCUGUAGUAUUUGUUACUGAGCUCAGUCUGCUGUUGAGCUUUCCACAUCUGGCUGUGACAGACCUACAAUGCUAGCUUCACAAGCAAGCCGUAGAUCUAAUGCAAACAGCUCCAACCCUUAGAUACUGCCAAUCCCAGCCCUACAGGAAUUCUGACCACACUCAAGGGUUACUAAUUCACUAUGUUGUUUGGUUUUAUUGCUUAAGCAUAGUUCAUAUCACAAACAGGAAAUUCUCCAUAUUUGUUAGCCAAAAGCUACCAAGACUGUACUGGAGUCACUAAGGGAAUAUUGCUGCACUAAGGUAGAAUGCAGCCUCUGUCUAACUUAGAAGGUACACCUUCGGCAAAUUAUGUAACUUACCUCUUAAUAACUGCCUUGCAUUGCUGGCCUCUUCUUUUGUUUCUCCCUUCGUUUUGAUUACCAAAUACUGUGUUCUUCUCUACUUCACCUCAGUAUCUGUAACUCCAAAUGACAGAUACGCCAUAACAGAAAAGGAGACAAGGGCAAACACUCAACCAGAAAUUCCUAGGUGCCUCUGGAGACUGCAGGAUGUUCGCUACAUUCCCUGUUCCCAGUUUUAUGUUGCACACACCAGAGGUACAUACAGGACCAAACAGCCUAAAUGCCUAUUUGAACCUUUCAGUUCUUACAUAGACAGAUAUAUUCUCGCAAUUACAAACCCACCUUUGUCUGCAUAACAGCCUCAGAAGAAGGAGCUGUGUUUGAAGUCAUUUAUAUUUUAUUUUCGUGCAGAACAAGAAACAUAUUUGACAGCAAAAAGACAAGCCCCAAGAGUGAAAGUAGCCUCAAGACUUCUCUUAUUCUGAAAUUAGACAGUGGCAUUUAUUUGUCUUUCAUAGUGCUCCUACAGCCAUGGCAGCAAACAGCGCAUGGAAGGGUUUCUUACCGUGCUGACAGAAUGGUCAUGAGUAAGCUGAGCAGUGUGCAAACAGUGUCGAGAUGAGGGCAGGCCAGGGCCUUCUUCCAAGUCCUACCUGUGGGAGGCAGAUGAGGGACAACAGGCAUUUCCUGACUCAAGCAAUUGCUUAAUAUAUCCCCCUCCCUGAAAAGCAUCAGCAACUGUUUGGACAGGAACUGCCAACACUUCCACCAGAUCGCACUGGACAUCAGGGAAAAAAAAAAAAGAAUGGGUCCAAUGGGGUCGAUACACUUUCUGCAUGUGUGGGAUCAGCAUUUUCUCUUUUCAAAAUCAAGUUGAUUUCAAAAAUCUGUAACUAGGAAAAUAUAUUAAAAAUGCAUUAGCCCGUAGAUUAAUGUUUGAAAGAUACCAUUUUAAUUACAGAGAGGUCAUAAUUCUCAGCUUUUGAGAAAAGGUGAUUAGUGCAAUUUCUUCAUUGAGUUAUAGUUUCACUACUUAAGAAAACAUUAUUUAAAGGGCAGAGUGUUAGCCAUUUACGCCACACUGAUGAGAAUCCCAACAAAACAUAAGCAAACACUUGAAUACACUCUUCCUAGCAACCAAGGCUUUCAUCAGAAAAGCAGCAUAUUUUUUGUUGGUUUUUGUGUGGUUUUUUUUCCCUGAACAUUAUAUUGAGCCCAAUUUCUAGCUUGCAAUCCUUCAGCCAUCCAGUAUUCAUCAAAUCCCUGGAAUAGAGUUUUCGGUGAAGAUGUAAGCCAUUGACAAAGCCACCUCCCUGUUCAUGUGCUAAAAAAAUUAAUUGAACUUUUAUUUUUUCAAAAUCCAUAUCUGAAUGCUUGUGUCACCACUACUUCUGUGUGCCACUAUGGCAGGGAGGCCAUAUUUUCAGAAUUCUGUGCAUCCCUGACUUCCACUAACAGAAAUACUGGGAGGUUAAUUUUCACUAUUAAUCUUCUUCACAUGCACCGACCUGCUGUGUGACUUCCUUAAAUUAACAGCAGCAUUUUAAGAAAUGCUGAAUUUCUACAAUUCUGACUGAGUAGAAAAUAGAGAUAUCGAAUACUUCCCUGGACUUUGGUCCGUCUUUACAGGCUGGGAUAGCUUUGAUGUUACUCAAGGAAUGGUUGUUUUGGAUCUCUGAAGUACUUCACUGGAUGCUGGAGAUCCAAUAAAACAAAACAAAAAACCCAAACCAGAGCUUUUAAGUUAAAUAUUAAGUAAAAAUAAGUGUACGUUGGUAAAGAAAAACAAAGACAUUUUGAAAGGGUUUUUCCACCAGGCAGUACCACUUAUUCCAUGAUAUAUCACCUCUUUUCUCCUAAGAAAAGAACUGUUUCAAACAGAAUUUUCUGCUUCCGUAUAUUCCUUCUUUUCUUACCUGAGGGUUUUUACUCCUUUCUUUCUUUCUUGUAGGAAGGAGACCAAUGGUUUUGUUGCCAACUCUUCGAGAAGAUCAGAGGAGCGACUGGGAAAUCUGUCUUCCAUGGAAAAGAGGAAAGAUGCUAAGGGACAGGAUGUACCCUCCUUGACAGUGUGGUCAAACAGCCAGCUUCCUCACUUGUCCCUAAAGAGCUCUCAGACAACUGUCUAGAAAAGUGCACAGUAUCCCCAGCUGUUAACAGCAGGAUAUACUGCAGCACUCCAGACUGCUGCUGCCAUGUCGUUUCAGUGCCUCCGGGGUCAGCUCAGUGUAUUAAAUUAACAGUUUUCCCAGGCAAUGCAAAAUGUCUGUGAACAGAAUGGUGCAGCAUAAUAAUGGGAUACAAGGGGAAGAUACCUGCUUAAAUAUGAAAUGUUUUGGUAAGAGCAGGAGAUGUUGAAGUGGUUCUGACUUACAUGACUUAGUGCCAAACACACGUUGUCACGCAGCAGUCCCAGCACGCUGUGUCUGUUCACCACCACUUCACAUUUUCAUAGCUUAUUUUAGAACAGUUGCAUUUUUUUUUCCAUCCUUAAUAAUUUAUGAGCUUAGAAUUAUCGAUAACGUGAAGCUUCAUUAUAAACUAUCAGGAGGAUUCUCAUCUGACUCGUCCCAUUAAAUUAUUAUUCCCAAACAUGAUUUAUAUUUAAUAAGACAUCAAUUGAACAUCAGUAAAAAUAAUAAUUAUGAACUAUAUCUUCAUAGAAAUACCAAUAGCUUAAAGACAAGCAAAUGCUGUGUACGGUCUGCAGGUCAGCUGUCAAACCUCUCUGAGAAUAUUUGUCUGUUUAGUAUUUAGAAUAUGAUAGUAAACCACAAAGAUAUAUUGCUGUGGUCUUCAGCUGAUUCUUGUGACAACUGUGGACCACGCCAAACCAUGAACCUGUAAGGCAGAACUGGGAAGUAACAAAGUGUUCUGUGUAGGUGAGGAGGUAAUCUCAAAACACUACAAAUGCCCAAGCAACUUCACGUUUCCACAAACAAAAUGUCAGAAGAAUUUUGGUUUGGGUAAUUUUUUUCUUUAACAUGAUCUACUGGAUUGAAAUGCUCUAUUUCUCCAUACAGAAAGUCAAAAUAAACAAUUUUACUGAUUGAAACUUCUGCCUAAAAACACAUUAAAAUAGCCUAAAGUUCAACAGUGUCAUUUGAGUCUUCUGUUCUAACAAACUAUUGCUCCACAGGACAAACUUCAUCAAAUAUUUGUAUUCAGAAAGAAGUGACAUUACUUCAUCCCAGGGAAUUGCAGCAAAGGCCCUUAAUCCUACUGCACCUUAUAGCAUUGCAGUAGUGGUUAUCACUCAUCAGGGACCACUUCUGUUUACAUUUCCUCAGCUUACACACAUCCCACAUGAGUCUUAAUGGAGGAGGAGAAAGGACAGGAGAAAAAGUUUUUCUGGAUUUUCUUCUUCAUUUCUAGUUUUUAUUUCUUACUUUCCUGUUCUGUUCAAAUUUCAUCAGGGAUGGAACAAAAGCUUCAGAUGGACAAGGUGACCACAUUGUCAGUAUCACACUUACCUUUGUCCAGGUUCAUUGGGAAGGAUUUACUCCCUGCUCCCUCAGACCCUCACUUAUGUAGGAUUUACACAAGGGCAGUGAUUGCACGUUCUGGAAGAAAGCCAAAAGACGUUACUGUCCUUCAGUGACAGCUUGAUGGUUUUUAAUAUUCGUUGGAUCUCCUUUUCAUCCACUGCACAUGCCUUUUUUAACUGCUCACGUCCACUAUUUGGCUUCUCCAUUACACAACCAAGGAUUAUAAGGGCAGCUGUCCUCUAAUGUAAAACACGAGUUGACACAAACAUUGCAGUCUCUUUAAAACUUUAAAGCCCCUUGAGCUUGAGAUAUUUACAGCUCUACAGAGAUGUGCUAUUCAAACCCCAGCAAAGAAAGGUUUCAGUUUAACUUUCUUAAAACAUUAAGAGCUGAUGGAACCAUAAAGACAUUCUGGUCUGACCUCCUACAUCGUGUUUUUACUCAGUCACUUCCAUCUCGAUCCCCCGAACAUACUGAGACAAAUACACCUUUCUGAAAGGCUUGAUAUCUUAAUCUGCACCUGAAAAAUCUAUUACUCUACCACCAGUUCACACUAGCAUUAUUACCUCACACUCCAAAGCACAAUUGAGAAGCCCAGUUUUGUCACUCCCACCCCCAGCCAAUGAUUUUUACCUUUUCUCUGCUGCUCAGUGCUUUGGUAUUCCCUAUCUUGGUGCCAUGAGGGAGCUAGACACAUCGGAGGUUGUAGCAUUUCUGCCACCCAGAAACAUGCAAGCAAUAGCAUGCAUACAUGACAUCUCUAGUAUGUCUUCUUACCUUGAAGGACUCACCAGAAUCCAGAGCCAAGUAUAUGUGCUGUGCUCUCCUCCUGACCUGGUCCAAGUCCAUUCCUUCCUGAGACACUCUCACAGGGAAAUGAUGAAAAGUUUAACAUGGAAAGAACAUGUCUGUAGCUUUGAGGGACAGCUCUAUUUUUAAAGCAACGAGCUCACCACAUAUUCCAUUUUCUCUCACUUAAUCACACAACUUUUAAAAUAAUAAUUUUUUUUUCUAAACACAUCCAUUCUGGACUAGUUUCACCACCCUCAUUCGACAAAAUGCACGCUAAUUUUAAUGGUAUUCAUUCUUACUCAAGAAAAACAUCCACCUUUGGUUUCUGAGCCUUCUUUACAACAGAUUUGGCGAAAGUCAAAAUAAACAACAUCCAGCAAUUCACCUUUAGGUAGUGCAAAAACAGUCCCCAGAGUGACAGCUUUCAGUUCAUCUCCAGUGAGAGCUGUAUAAGCCGUAAGCUCUUCUAUAAACACAGCAAUGAAUAACGAUCAGUCUCUUACUCCUCUCAGUCUCUCGUGUGACAGACCCUUAAUUAUGGCUAUUAGAUUAUUAUUUUCUCCAGAGAAUCCUAUAAGGCAAAAGCAGUGUUCUUCUCUGGACAUCAAAGACAGAAUUAAGACACUGCUUAGGAAAGCUCCUCAGAAACAGCAGCUGUUCAUCCCCACUAAGGAAUGCCCUAUUUGAGACAGAGCGCGCAGCUGCAGCUUCACUGCCUGCUCUGUAUGAGGCACCCUGCAAAAACUGAUGCUCCGCUUUGAAGGGAAAGAUGCCCACCUAAAACACAGGGCAGCCCACCUCCUGCUAAGCUCUGAAAAACUAUUCAGAUUUCUGUUACCUUAGACCUCUGUAUCCUACAAAGAUCACCCAUUCUCAAUAAGUCCUGGACCAGUGAGGCUUGCAACACAACAGUACAAAAGCAGUAGCACAAAUUAUGACUGUGUAACAGAAAAGUGAACUAGAAUCCACCCACCUAAGGCACUGUACCACCAGCAUCUGUUACUGCACAUAUCUUUUUAUGUGUAACAUUUAUUGGCAUCCUUCGGGAUAACUCUGCAUGCUCCUACAGUCAACUAGGAAGAAUGUCUGUCCCCCAAGAGAGAACAACAGGCCAGAAUCAAGACUCAGGCUGACUCCAAGCAACAAAUGAUUCCUGAACACUUUAUACAUAGGUAACACGAAUCAAUUCUUAAAUAGUCAUUACUAGAAAACUAAUGUAACUGCCUCUCAAGAGAAUUACUGCUUAAUACUAUUAUCUUCUGUGGGCAUGUAAAGCAAGAUAAGUAUAUAGAGCAGGUGAGAAUAUAUAUAUUAUGAUAACUUAUGUGGUUUAGGCUUGUUUUGGAAUACUGUAGCAACUUAUUGCUAGCCAACAUCUUACAUCAGUAAGAAUGUAAAAAGUAAUGUCUGGCAAUUUAUGAGUUCUUAAUAAAGCACAGUGUUUAGAAGAUUAACUGUUGAAGCUGUUCUUGAUUUUGAUUCAGCUGAUUUUUGUCUGGGCUCAGCACUAUGGCUUAUCCCUGUUUCCCUGGCUCCUUCAGGGUCUGACAGUUCCAAAUUCUUACUUGAUUGGACUUAAAAAAUAAAUAAAUAAAAAUUAGGAACUGCUUAAGCAGCACUGCCCCUAUCCGUCCCCAGCCCAGGUGUGAAAUUAACAUUGGUUCAAAACACUGGAAAUUCACACAUGCACACUUAAAGCACAGGUUCCAGGAUGGACAUUGCACCACCUGUGAAUUCCCCAACCUAAAUGCAUACUGUCACUCACUUAAGUGAAACCCAAGUAGCCUGUAUGUGCCAAGCAGGUGAAGUAUUUUCAUAUAAACACGUUUGUAGAGGUAGGUUCUUUCAGAGUUUCACAGACACGUGGUUACUAAGCACAAGAUAAGUAAAUUUAAAACAACUCUGCCAAAAAUUAAACUGGUUCCACACCUAUAAUAAUUACUUUGAUGCUUCUGAGGCAUGACUGCAUUUGAAGCAGAAUAUAUUAUACCACACAUCACAAUUGUCCAGAGCUGUCAUAAGCCAUUAAGAUAUACAAAGUCACGAUCCUCAGUUACACCCUUAGACAAUGGGUAACACUUCUUUGUGAAUGCUUCUCUGUCCAAGUAUCUCUUGCUUGAAUGCAUCAGAUGCUCUGUGAGAUACAUCCCUCAGCUGUGGCAGCUCAGCACCUUUCCACCAAUUUAAGUCAGCUGAUUGGGAUUGCUAAAGAUAGCUCUCAUGUCAUUCUGAGCUCUCAAAAGUGUUCUGAAAUGGGACAUUUAAACUAUUUACCACAAUUCUCAUUGCAGUUUAAAAGCUGCACAAUGUUUUUGAAGCUUUGUGAUUCCAGAAAUCCAGUGUCUAAAUGAAGGUCUGCUGGGAAAAAAAAAAAAUAGCUGAUUUGUCACAAAAAAAUCAAUCUUCCACUGCCCAAUUCCGUUCUUAAUGAAUGAGACAAUUCAGAAACCUAUGGGAACAUGCUUUAUUGAUUCAUUCACAAGUCACUCAAACCCACUGCCUCGGUUCCCUCCGAUAAGACAAACCGCACAGCGCUCCCGGUGUACUGAAUUGCAGGAAAAGCCAAUGACUCCACAGCUGUUCUGCUGGAAGUCCAGUGAGACUAAACACAGCCAAUAAAUCUAAACGCAGCACACCACUAGGUUAAUGAUAAAUGUGUGUAGAAGACAAAGAGACUUGCAUUUCCUCUUUAUUAUCCCUUCAGUUGAGCCACUGCCUUAUCUGUAAUUUAUUUACCCAGGACAGUUGGGCCCAGAUGCGUACCUGUUUUUCCACUGAAGUACUUGUUUUUCUCCAUUUUGCAGAUGGAUUAAAUAAGCCAGGAGGAGGCCAACCUACAUGUGUGAGGUCACACAGAGAACUGUAAUCUACACUGCAGUAGAUGCCUGAAUCCAUUCAAGUUCAAGACCUAAUUUGGCAUAAAGCUAGUGUGUAGCUGUACUGCACUGUAUAUUUUAUAAACAUAUCUUUCAAUAAUCUCCUGUGCUUCUCAUGAAAGCAAUAACAAGCAGUAAGAACAGCUGAGUCUGUAUUGGGCAAGCUUUCCUAUUAAAUUCCAGCAAUACAUCUCAGCUGUGACCUGUAGCAAUUUGGGUAACCUAAUAAGGCUGACUGUCCCAUAAGAACCAGGGAUGAUACGCUGUCUACCCGCGAGAUAUGAGGAAGUACAAGAGAGCAACUUUACAGCAAGUAUCACCUAGCAGAGCAAAAGUGAACCUAAAAAACAGAUCUAAGAAAAUACAGUAAGAGACAACACAUAUGUGAGAAUAGACCAUUUGUUUAUAUAGUCCAAUAGAUACUUACCACCAUUUCAACAUUCGUUUCCAACUCAAAACAUCACAUCUGCAUGUCCUGUUUAACAGAGUAUGCUACAUGGGGAUGUCAUGAAGGACCUUCUGGUAACUACAGUUAGUACAACUACUCCAGUGCACGUUACCUGAAGUUGGGCAUUCUGUCAGAUCCGCCCACUUUUCCUAGAAAUCCAAAAGGUCCUCUGCCUUACGAUGCAAUAACAUUUAAAGGACUGCUCUUAAAAUCAUUCUAAUAUAUAUGCUACCUUUACACGUGCAUUUAAUAAGCGGGCACAGAUCCAGUCAGGCAUACGCAAGUCUCUACUUCAAAACUCACCUCUUCAGCUGUAUUAUGAUUUCCAUCCCCUAGUAGUUCUAGUACAAACUUUUGCACAGAAUGGCUUCAGAAAGUGGUCUCUGCUCUCAUGUAUCUGCUGGAUAUAUAAAGCAACAAGCAAUUUAGUGGUGUACAGGAGAAUUAAACAUUUUUUAUGCACUUCGAUGUUUCCCCUAAUUCUGAAAAUCAACCAAAACCUUCAACAUAAAAAUCACUUUUCCUUUAGAGAUGUCUCUCAGCAGGGCGGUGCUCACAGCCACAUUGUCACUGUGUGUUCAAAGCCGUCAGCACUCAACGUGCUAAGAAGCGACACUGAAUUCUGCAAUCAGAAGCACAAAGUUUCAAAAAGAUUUCAGAAUCUAUGUGAAUAUAAAUAGCUGCACUGAAUGCUUCAAAGGCCGAAAACGUCGUAGAGAUUUACGCUUCAGUCUGUUUUGACAGAUAAACAGACAAAAACAUAUUUCGUAAAGGAGCAAUAAGACUUCCACUGUAACACUUCCCAUAAUUAGACCGUAAGAGACACUGAAAUACUUACAUUCACUGUAUAGAAGGCUUAUGUCUCACUUCUGCUUACUACUUGAGCUCCUGAAAAGCACCCAAUUGUCUAACCUUAACAUGUAUUAACGUGAGCCCCAAGCUUUCUGCACAUGUUCAUACCCACCAUUUAUACCAUCAUCUUCCCCACCCUGCUGACUUCUUAUUGUUUAGUGGAAAUAUUCACAUUUUCCAAAGGUUUUUUUUUUCUUCUGAAGCAGAACCUGAUGUUGCUUAAUGCUCAGUGUUAAGCAUUAAUACACACAUCAAACUAAAAACGUUGAUAAAACCUUCCACUGGAAGGAAAUGCAAUUGGAAAGAUGCUUUUUCUAACGGCGCUUCCUGUCCUUCGCUCCAAAUGACUGAAGAUCUUUUUAUUGUUCUGUGUUCUCUCUUUAGUGUGGCACGAUUUGAGUUCCAAAUCCCCCAAGAGUUCUGUGACCAACCUCCUGUGAGUUUCUGGGAUGUAAAGGUCAGAGCUGAAGACGGCAUGGACAGAGUGUACAGAAGAAAAGUCUCAGAACCUCUUGCUUCAAAUCCAUCACUUUCAGAGAGAAAAAACAGACAGCAAAGCACUCCUCUUUUGGAGGCAAAUCAGCCAUGGUGGGAACCUCUCAAACAACUGAGAACAACUGAAAACGGGCACUCCUGAAAUCAAGGAGAGAGGAUGGCUUUCCCAGAGAACUUCUGCACGGAGAUCUGGCUUCUGAAUUUCUUGGAUUCCUUAAAUGAAAAUCUUACACUGGGAAUUCCAAACAAUACAGCCUGUAACGUUUGGCUAGCAUACAGCACUCAGUGCAACCCCCCGGGCCGUGUUCCUGGACUCAUCCCAUCCCCACACUACAAAGAUGUCUUUCCUCAGCCAGCUCUGCUGCCAGCCAAGUUCCUGACAAGGUGUUGGUGCUUGGUCUGAACAUUGGUUAAUCUUCCCCAUGCUGGCUGGCUCCGUUGGUCUUAAAGAAGCACCAUCCAAUCUCAAUCCCAGUGUUCCUUAACUGCUUCAUUCCCUUUCACAUUUUCUAUUUUUUAUAAUCACUUCUUAGGAACAACUGUAAUACUACUAGCUAGUGGAACAGGUGUCGUUACUAAUAAAGCCUGUAAGAAGGAAAACCAGUGUCCCACCAAACAUAUGUAGAGGAUGCACCUUCCAACAUUAAAGCUCUGAUUUGCAACCUGAAAGAAUUCUCU